UACUAUAGCUUGACACUGAACAUUGAGCCUUGAUGUGUAGGAUAGGUGGGAGGCUUUGAAGUGUGGACGCCAGUCUGCAUGGAGCCGACCUUGAAAUACCACCCUUUAAUGUUUGAUGUUCUAACGUUGACCCGUAAUCCGGGUUGCGGACAGUGUCUGGUGGGUAGUUUGACUGGGGCGGUCUCCUCCUAAAGAGUAACGGAGGAGCACGAAGG
rnacentral:rRNA from 1 species